rnacentral:lncRNA from 1 species
UGCGGUUAUAGUUAAAACUGCUAGUAGAAAACCGAAAUAACUGGUUAGAGUGGGCAUAAGGAAACUAGAUGAAAUAUAUUCUUUCUAUACAUAUGUUUAUAAAGCACUUUCCUAAGUUUCCAUUUUUUUUGAGAUAAAAAUAGGAAAAUAAGCAAAAAAUACCACUUGAAAGAUACAAUUGAAAAUAAUUGAUUCAUGAAUCAAUUAUUACGGACGAACAAAAAGAAAAAUAGAGUUACAUAGGUAAGAAACCAAUUCAU